rnacentral:lncRNA from 10 species
CUUCUGUUAAACAAAAAGCUGUCUUUUCCCUCUCAGGGUCUCUCCUUCCUCCCCCAUAUGGAGAACUCCGUGUUUGCCAGCCUGUCUCCUGGGAUUUCAAGAUGCGGCAUAAGAGUAGGUACAGAGAGACAGGACAAGAAACAUAGGAAGGAAGAGAGAGGGAAACUAAACCGACUGGCUUGUGGGCUGGGCUUUGGGGAGCAUUCUUUGUAGAGUUGAGAGGGAGAUACAAAAGCAGUCUUAGGUUGGGAGAGAAAUGGAUUUGUUUCUCCUCUAAAUAAUUUAUCGAGGAGAAAUUCACAUAACAUAAAGUUAACCAGCUCUACGGGAACAAUUCAGUGGCAUUUGGCAUAUUCACAAUGUUGCGCAACCAACCACCUCUGUCUCAUUCCAAAAUGCUUCCAUCGCUCCAGAAUUCCAGUGUCAUCUGAGCCAUUCCACUUUUCCUUCCUUUGGGUGCCCUGAGCAGGCCCAGCUCCUUUGUAAUGAAAUGGAAAUUACAGACCACCCCUGAGGCCCAGGCACAGCCAAUGGAAAAAAGCAUGCGAAAUUAAUGGACCCCAGAUUCAAGUUAUAAGUAGCAGAUUUUGAUGCCUUUUUAUUUGCAUUCCUGAGUGGUAAAGUGUUAUUUUGCUCAAUAUUGGUCUUCUAAUGGGUUCUAUGGAGCUUCAGUACAAUUUACAUUUUAAUACUUAAUCUGUAUUUUAAUCUUUAAUAAAAGAAUCUGAAUUUAGAGUAUUGCAGACCUGAGGGUUAGG